rnacentral:tRNA from 1 species
GCCUUAGUAGCUCAGUAUUUAGAGCACCGGU